CACUUGCACAGCAAUUGCGAUGAAAUUGAAUUUGCCGCAGCAGCAAAUGGAUUUUAAAUAAAUUUCUUUUUGCAAUGCCUGUUUGGCGCGCUGGUGUGCAUUCAAUUUAAGAGGCAUUUAACACUCAACAAUUGAUAAAACAUAAAAUAAAAGAAGGUACACAGCAUAAAAAUGAAAUACCAGGCGACAAACUGGUUUCUGCUGUGGUACCCACGCAUCUGCAGCAACAACAACAACAACAGCCACAAAGAGCAGGCCGACAAAUUCUUGAACAUUUCCGCCAAGCGAUCGGACAAGUGCGAGCGAGAGAGCACGUUAUGUGUGAGCGGUGUAACAUGUAAACAAGCUGCUGCGCAAGGUUGCCAGAGCGACGGCGCACGGCGCUUUGUUUUAUUUUGCAGAUUAUUUCAAGUUGAAAACAAUAUACUUGUAGAAAAAUAAAUAACACAUUUAUCCAGCUAUUAAGCUACACAUUAA